rnacentral:rRNA from 1 species
UGGGGAAUUUUGCGCAAUGGGGGAAACCCUGACGCAGCAACGCCGCGUGCGGGAAGAAGGCCUUCGGGUUGUAAACCGCUUUCAGCAGGGAAUACAGUGAAGGUACCUGCAGAAGAAGCUCCGGCUAACUACGUGCCAGCAGCCGCGGUAAUACGUAGGGAGCGAGCGUUAUCCGGAAUCAUUGGGCGUAAAGCGCGCGUAGGCGGCUCGCCAAGCGGGUGUCUCAAACCCGGGGGCUCAACCUCCGGCCGGACCCCGAACUGGCGGGCUCGAGUGCGGUAGAGGAAGGUGGAAUUCCCAGUGUAGCGGUGGAAUGCGCAGAUAUUGGGAAGAACACCGAUGGCGAAGGCAGCCUUCUGGGCCGCCACUGACGCUGAGGCGCGAAAGCUAGGGGAGCGAACA